rnacentral:lncRNA from 1 species
CCAUUUUAUGACAAACAUGAUAUUACAUAUAGAUACAUGUAUAUACAUAUGAUGUAUGUUACAUCACUGAAGAGACAUGUAUUGUCUAAAUGCGCAUCUGGUGCAGGAAAAUUGGUACCGUCAAUUUUAUUGCUACCACUGGGUCGUUGCCUCUGCUGGUAGACUGUUAGUCCCCGAGGGUAUCACCAGCCCAGUAGCCAGUACUUCGGUACUGGCAUGAAAAUACGGAUUGUUUGUGUUAUUAACUUUGCUAUUACAAAAUAUUAGAAAUUAUUUAAAAUUAAGGAAUGUAUCUCCCUCA